rnacentral:lncRNA from 1 species
GACGUAGAUCAAUAAACCGAACCACAUAAAUAUUGUGUGCUCUUGCUGUUCUCUUAUUCUUUUCACUUUUUUUCGUCUUGUUUUGUCAUUCUCUCUGCCUGUCGCAACAAUUAUCUCAUUUGCAAAGAUAGUUUACGAAAAUUACUUGGUCAUUUAUACCUGCAGUUGUGACUAUUUUGUUUUUGGCAGAGAAGGAGCCUUCUUUUGUGAUUAACACUUACAUGCGCACUAACCUAUGCUUUACUUCCAUCCUUAUUAAGAAAAUAGAAAUAUGUCUAACAGAAUAACUACUUACAAUAUGAGAAGAGGAGGUCUGCACCGGGAGGGGGUGAGGGGCACCGACCUCUGCUUCUUAGGCAGGGGAUAUUUCCGAUAAGGCAAUGCUCAGUCCACAUGGACAUCUUUAAUUUUAGAAAUACCUAGCAUUUUUGUCUAAUCUUCUUUAAUGUAAAAAAACCUAAACAAAUUUAAAUUGUAACAAAAAUGUAAGUAACUUUUUUGUCCAUUUCUGCUAAUUGACAUGCAUCUCAUCUGGCCUUUAAGAACUAGAUUCAAAUUGUCUAUAGUGUCAACAAGUUCACCUUGGAAUAUGAGUCGAGAUCUAUUCUUUUUCGAAAUGUAGCCUGGAAUCCACUAAAUUUUGAACUAACUUUGAAACUUUUUACGUCGAUAGAGAAAUC